rnacentral:lncRNA from 1 species
UGAUAUUCAAUGUGAAAAUCAUUGUUUUAGUUUAAGAAACAUCACCGCCUCAAUUCCGAGCAAGUUAACAUUGCCUAUAUAAAUCCUCACAAAUCAUGUUACUCCAUCAGAACUCCAAAAAAAAAAAAUUGGGGGGAGGAGGGGAGGUGACCCAAUAUUGCGUCCGUGCCAUGAAGCAACCACUAAUGUUUGUAUUAGAGUAGAUAUUAGAGUAGGUUGUCUACAUUAUACCUUUUGGGGUACGGUUCUUCCCAGACCUGUGUGAAUACUGGAUGCCUUAUGCACCGAGGCUGUCGAAGUAAUAGGAAAAGAGAUUAUUAGAAACAAACUCCUGAGCCAAAUGCCUGCUAAUAUACAUUACAUCCUACCUCAAACUAACAUAUUAUGAGCUCCCACUAAUUGAAGUAGCCUACCUUCAAUAAUAACUAUUUUUACAUUUUAUGUCAAUUUCAAAACUUGAAAAUGAGGUGAAACGAAAACUCACCAAAAAGAAGAAAGGAGAAAAACUGCGGCUUUAGUUUUCAGGCUAAAUAAAUAAGUUAUUAUGGUGCUAAACUAUUCUCCUGUUUGUCGACAACACAACCUUGAGGAAGAACUGCCUCGCCAAUUCUUGUUGGAGGCCAACAACAGAAACAACAAAGUCAAAAAUCAGUUCAUGCAAUAUGAUUAUAACCCAAAUACCAAAUGAAACAGCAAACAUUGAAAGAGAUCUAACCAAUUGAACAAAAAAUCAACAAAAGGAGACCCAUAAAAUAAGAAAACAAAUGGAGCAUAAACUGACCCAAGUAUAUUUAUCCUCGAAGUCAAAUUUCACACUUUCCAAGUUGCCAUCAAUAGAGAAUAAUGGAGAGUGCUUGGGUGUUUUUUUUUUUUGUUGAGAGUGAGAGAGUGGAUGGUUGCUUUUUGUAGCUUUUGGUGGAAAGUGAAGACGAUUGCAAAAUCUAUUAU